rnacentral:rRNA from 1 species
UGACUGCGUACCUUUUGUAUAAUGGGUCAGCGACUUAUAUUCUGUAGCAAGGUUAACCGAAUAGGGGAGCCGAAGGGAAACCGAGUCUUAACUGGGCGUUAAGUUGCAGGGUAUAGACCCGAAACCCGGUGAUCUAGCCAUGGGCAGGUUGAAGGUUGGGUAACACUAACUGGAGGACCGAACCGACUAAUGUUGAAAAAUUAGCGGAUGACUUGUGGCUGGGGGUGAAAGGCCAAUCAAACCGGGAGAUAGCUGGUUCUCCCCGAAAGCUAUUUAGGUAGCGCCUCGUGAACUCAUCUCCGGGGGUAGAGCACUGUUUCGGCAAGGGGGUCAUCCCGACUUACCAACCCGAUGCAAACUGCGAAUACCGGAGAAUGUUAUCACGGGAGACACACGGCGGGUGCUAACGUCCGUCGUGAAGAGGGAAACAACCCAGACCGCCAGCUAAGGUCCCAAAGUCAUGGUUAAGUGGGAAACGAUGUGGGAAGGCCCAGACAGCCAGGAUGUUGGCUUAGAAGCAGCCAUCAUUUAAAGAAAGCGUAAUAGCUCACUGGUCGAGUCGGCCUGCGCGGAAGAUGUAACGGGGCUAAACCAUGCACCGAAGCUGCGGCAGCGACGCUUAUGCGUUGUUGGGUAGGGGAGCGUUCUGUAAGCCUGCGAAGGUGUGCUGUGAGGCAUGCUGGAGGUAUCAGAAGUGCGAAUGCUGACAUAAGUAACGAUAAAGCGGGUGAAAAGCCCGCUCGCCGGAAGACCAAGGGUUCCUGUCCAACGUUAAUCGGGGCAGGGUGAGUCGACCCCUAAGGCGAGGCCGAAAGGCGUAGUCGAUGGGAAACAGGUUAAUAUUCCUGUACUUGGUGUUACUGCGAAGGGGGGACGGAGAAGGCUAUGUUGGCCGGGCGACGGUUGUCCCGGUUUAAGCGUGUAGGCUGGUUUUCCAGGCAAAUCCGGAAAAUCAAGGCUGAGGCGUGAUGACGAGGCACUACGGUGCUGAAGCAACAAAUGCCCUGCUUCCAGGAAAAGCCUCUAAGCAUCAGGUAACAUCAAAUCGUACCCCAAACCGACACAGGUGGUCAGGUAGAGAAUACCAAGGCGCUUGAGAGAACUCGGGUGAAGGAACUAGGCAAAAUGGUGCCGUAACUUCGGGAGAAGGCACGCUGAUAUGUAGGUGAAGCGACUUGCUCGUGGAGCUGAAAUCAGUCGAAGAUACCAGCUGGCUGCAACUGUUUAUUAAAAACACAGCACUGUGCAAACACGAAAGUGGACGUAUACGGUGUGACGCCUGCCCGGUGCCGGAAGGUUAAUUGAUGGGGUCAGCGCAAGCGAAGCUCUUGAUCGAAGCCCCGGUAAACGGCGGCCGUAACUAUAACGGUCCUAAGGUAGCGAAAUUCCUUGUCGGGUAAGUUCCGACCUGCACGAAUGGCGUAAUGAUGGCCAGGCUGUCUCCACCCGAGACUCAGUGAAAUUGAACUCGCUGUGAAGAUGCAGUGUACCCGCGGCAAGACGGAAAGACCCCGUGAACCUUUACUAUAGCUUGACACUGAACAUUGAGCCUUGAUGUGUAGGAUAGGUGGGAGGCUUUGAAGUGUGGACGCCAGUCUGCAUGGAGCCGACCUUGAAAUACCACCCUUUAAUGUUUGAUGUUCUAACGUUGACCCGUAAUCCGGGUUGCGGACAGUGUCUGGUGGGUAGUUUGACUGGGGCGGUCUCCUCCUAAAGAGUAACGGAGGAGCACGAAGGUUGGCUAAUCCUGGUCGGACAUCAGGAGGUUAGUGCAAUGGCAUAAGCCAGCUUGACUGCGAGCGUGACGGCGCGAGCAGGUGCGAAAGCAGGUCAUAGUGAUCCGGUGGUUCUGAAUGGAAGGGCCAUCGCUCAACGGAUAAAAGGUACUCCGGGGAUAACAGGCUGAUACCGCCCAAGAGUUCAUAUCGACGGCGGUGUUUGGCACCUCGAUGUCGGCUCAUCACAUCCUGGGGCUGAAGUAGGUCCCAAGGGUAUGGCUGUUCGCCAUUUAAAGUGGUACGCGAGCUGGGUUUAGAACGUCGUGAGACAGUUCGGUCCCUAUCUGCCGUGGGCGCUGGAGAACUGAGGGGGGCUGCUCCUAGUACGAGAGGACCGGAGUGGACGCAUCACUGGUGUUCGGGUUGUCAUGCCAAUGGCACUGCCCGGUAGCUAAAUGCGGAAGAGAUAAGUGCUGAAAGCAUCUAAGCACGAAACUUGCCCCGAGAUGAGUUCU